rfam:Ricinus communis cultivar Hale ctg_1100012361281, whole genome shotgun sequence.
GUAUCCAUGGUGUGGGCAUUGUAUUAAAAGUAAUUUGAAGCGAUUCCAUGUUUCAUGAAAGGACUUAAUAUCCUUUUGGUGAAAGUUAGAAAUUUCAAUCCUUAAUUC